GACUGCGGACAGACGUCACACGCUCACUGCAAACAACACGUGGGUGCGUUGGAAGACGUGCUGGUACUGAGCGCACGGUGGUCACGACUUUGUGUGAGGAAUCGCUGGCACACCUACGUGAUAUCAUAGCUCUAUGGUGAUAUGGAUUUUUCAGCAAAGAGGUUUGGCAGUGAUGCAUGAGGAAAGUCAAGGAAACGUCGAAGAGUGGCACAAUUAAGAGACUCAACUUCAUUAGGGCCAGGCUAGUGGACUAUACCUCCAAUACUUGGCCCUAUACUCCUUAACGAGAAACAGGUGGAGGAAGGCUUAAACAUUGGGAUAAAGCUCCCCGGCCACGAACGGUAUCAACCACAUACAGGUAUUUCUCAAUUGCCUUUUUGAUUAAGUCACUUAGUAGUUUAUCUUGUUCAAUUUGCCCAAAUGGUGAAUUCCUGACCAUCGUGCCUGUUGUUGAAUUAUUUGUCAUCUCGAUACCAGAUUUUGUUACAACUGUGAUUUUCUCAAGAUCUUCAGUGGCAGUGAACAUGUACAACUCUAGACACCAGCAGUUGUGGUGAUCUCUGAGAACGUUAAUAACUGCACACCACAUUAGGUCUGCCGUGUAUUCUAUUGCACCAUAUGCCUGCAUUGCAUUGGCUGGACGCCACACCUGCAUACACACCUGGCAGCUGGCAAUCAGAUCAAGCCCUUUAUUGUCAUAAUAUCUGCUCUUGGAACAGUGAUGAAGGUCCAAGCAAGACAGUCAGAUUUUGGAAUCAAAGAGGGCCAGCAGUCUGUAGCUACAACCCUUAGAAGAGGAGUUUUAAAACAGUGGUGAAAACUGCAUGUAUCACUUUGCAAAUACUGACCUUGACCCUGACCCCACCAGAUGCAGCAUUCUGCAGCAGAUGUAAAAGGCUGAUGCACUAUAGCCGUGUUCCUCUUUGACUUUUUCUUCCGUGGGCGUGCGGAAACUUACUGCCACAUGCCUUUGUGUCAAUCUACCGGGCAUUCCCACCUCGGACUUGUUUUUAACCGUAAUGGAAUGCUUAUUUGCUGUGUUAGGCCUAACAUGAUAAGACCAGCUGAUUACAUAGCCUGCGCUGUACAAAAUGAUGAAAUCGGCAAAAUUUGACAAAAACAAAGAUAAAAUCAGACAAAUUUGGCCAAAUCUGCUAUAAAGACGACAAACUCGUACAAGAAAAGCCCUGUACAAAAUGUGUGUAUAGCUUUAUCUGGGCAUGCCUCACUGUGUGUGUGUGGCAUGCUGCUGUACUGUACGCAUGGAGCUGGAGGCUGGGAACCAUACAACCAUUUUCUCUGUGUGGGCAAUAGUCUGGUUCGUAUGUUUAGCGUGGUCGCGGUCAAUCUACAUUGUAUGGGAAUUGUUCCCAGUGGACUUUUCGCACCCCUGCUAACUUACCGUGUCUGCACGGAAAGCUUAUGCGACCCUUUCGGCCUGUUAGCUUUACAUCGCGAUCACGGUAAGUUGACAGGGACGUUAUAGUUUACCGUGU